UCUUAUCAGUGGCUACUGCACGCCGUCAAAUAAUGCGCUAAUCUUCAAGUGAGAGCAAGCAUUAUGUCUCGCCUGUGUGGACUCCUCUUGGUUGUCUUAAUUGUUGGCCCCGUGGUGUGUCAGCUCGUCAUGCCCUGGCAGAUGUGUGAGAUGCAGUGUCUUAAAGACAACAACGCCACCUGGCCCUACCAUGCCGCGCCGGAAAUAAACGAACAUUGCCGAACCUACUGCAGAGACCACUGGAAGGACAUGUUUUACAACACCACACUUACGGGCUGACAGAAGGAAGCAAACGUCUGUAAUAUGACACUGCAGUGUUAAUAAACCCAACGUUUAUAGUACGAUGCA